rnacentral:rRNA from 1 species
CCCUUAGAUGUCCUGGGCCGCACGCGCGCUACACUGACGGAGCCAGCGAGCGUGUCCUUCGCCGAAAGGUGCGGGUAAUCUUGGCAGCCUCCGUCGUGCUGGGGAUAGAUGGUUGCAAUUAUUGAUCUUGAACGAGGAAUUCCUAGUAAGCGCGAGUCACCAGCUCGCGUUGAUUACGUCCCUGCCCUUUGUACACACCGCCCGUCGCUACUACCGAUUGGAUGGCUUAAUGAGAGCUCUGGAUCUCUGCCGGCGCGGUCCUCACGGGUCGCGUUGGAUGGGGAGAAGUUGCUCAAAGUGAGUCUUCUAGAGGAAGUAAAAGUCGUAACA